rnacentral:rRNA from 1 species
GACGGGGGAUGCGAGCGUUAUCCGGAAUGAUUGGGCGUAAAGGGUCCGCAGGUGGCCCGGUCAGUCCGCUGUCAAAGCCUGGGGGCUCAACCCUGGAGAGGCGGCGGAGACCACCGGGCUUGAGUCCGGUAGGGGCAGAGGGAAUUCCCGGUGGAGCGGUGAAAUGCGUAGAGAUCGGAAAGAACACCAACGGCGAAAGCAACUCUGCUGGGCCGACACUGACACUGAGAGACGAAAGCUAGGGGAGCGAAUGGG